GGUUAAGCGACUAAGCGUACACGGUGGAUGCCCUGGCAGUCAGAGGCGAUGAAGGGCGUGCUAAUCUGCGAUAAGCGCCGGUAAGGUGAUAUGAACCGUUAUAACCGGCGAUACCCGAAUGGGGAAACCCAGUGUGACUCGUCACACUAUCAUUAACUGAAUCCAUAGGUUAAUGAGGCGAACCGGGGGAACUGAAACAUCUAAGUACCCCGAGGAAAAGAAAUCAACCGAGAUUCCCCCAGUAGCGGCGAGCGAACGGGGAGGAGCCCAGAGCCUGAAUCAGCAUGUGUGUUAGUGGAAGCGUCUGGAAAGGCGCGCGAUACAGGGUGACAGCCCCGUACACAAAAGCGCAUGUGCUGUGAGCUCGAUGAGUAGGGCGGGACACGUGGUAUCCUGUCUGAAUAUGGGGGGACCAUCCUCCAAGGCUAAAUACUCCUGACUGACCGAUAGUGAACCAGUACCGUGAGGGAAAGGCGAAAAGAACCCCGGCGAGGGGAGUGAAAAAGAACCUGAAACCGUGUACGUACAAGCAGUGGGAGCACCCUUCGGGGUGUGACUGCGUACCUUUUGUAUAAUGGGUCAGCGACUUAUAUUCUGUAGCAAGGUUAACCGUAUAGGGGAGCCGGAGGGAAACCGAGUCUUAAUUGGGCGUUAAGUUGCAGGGUAUAGACCCGAAACCCGGUGAUCUAGCCAUGGGCAGGUUGAAGGUUGGGUAACACUAACUGGAGGACCGAACCGACUAAUGUUGAAAAAUUAGCGGAUGACCUGUGGCUGGGGGUGAAAGGCCAAUCAAACCGGGAGAUAGCUGGUUCUCCCCGAAAGCUAUUUAGGUAGCGCCUCGUGAAUUCAUCUCCGGGGGUAGAGCACUGUUUCGGCUAGGGGGCCAUCCCGGCUUACCAACCCGAUGCAAACUGCGAAUACCGGAGAAUGUUAUCACGGGAGACACACGGCGGGUGCUAACGUCCGUCGUGAAGAGGGAAACAACCCAGACCGCCAGCUAAGGUCCCAAAGUCAUGGUUAAGUGGGAAACGAUGUGGGAAGGCCCAGACAGCCAGGAUGUUGGCUUAGAAGCAGCCAUCAUUUAAAGAAAGCGUAAUAGCUCACUGGUCGAGUCGGCCUGCGCGGAAGAUGUAACGGGGCUAAACCAU
rnacentral:rRNA from 1 species